UAGGGAAUCUUCCGCAAUGGACGCAAGUCUGACGGAGCAACGCCGCGUGAGUGAAGAAGGAUUUCGGUUCGUAAAACUCUGUUGUUAGAGAAGAACAGCGCAUAGAGUAACUGUUAUGCGUGUGACGGUAUCUAACCAGAAAGCCACGGCUAACUACGUGCCAGCAGCCGCGGUAAUACGUAGGUGGCAAGCGUUGUCCGGAUUUAUUGGGCGUAAAGCGAGCGCAGGCGGUCAAUUAAGUCUGAUGUGAAAGCCCCCGGCUCAACCGGGGAGGGUCAUUGGAAACUGGUUGACUUGAGUGCAGAAGAGGGGAGUGGAAUUCCAUGUGUAGCGGUGAAAUGCGUAGAUAUAUGGUAGAACACCGGUGGCGAAAGCGGCUCUCUGGUCUGUAACUGACGCUGAGGCUCGAAAGCGUUGGGAGCGAACAGG
rnacentral:rRNA from 1 species